CGCGUGACUUCCCCCAAACGCGACGGAGAACCCCUCUCUCACCCGCGUCCCCCCCCCCCACGCUCUCUCCCUCCCUCGCGCAGAAGCCCCCAGACGAAACCCAGAAAAGGCAAAAGAGAAAAAAAAUGCAGAAGAGGCAGACCCUAAAGCGGAAAAUCCCCCCCAGACGCGACUUCUCUCCCCUUCGCUCUCCUCCUCUCUCUCAUCCUCUCUCCCAAGCGAGCUGCAACGACUCUUUUCGAGUCGUUUUUCUACUGCAAAUCAUACGAUUCGCGCAGGUCUGGAAGAAAAAGAAAGCUGCUCUCAUCCUUGCCACGCCAAGAUGACUCCAUGUCGCCCGCCUAGGACACUCGACUAAUCUCGACCGUCUCUCCUUCCUUUCCAUUUCUGGAAUGGGACAAAUUUUUAGAAAAAAGGGAUGCUACUCUGUAAGGGGAAAAGGAUUUCGAAUUUGAAAUUCGAAAUGGGCCUCAAGUCACGUUCCCGCCCUCCCUCUUCCGAAAACCCUAAUAUCCCCCUAUAUAAACCCCUUCCAUCUUCAAGAAAAGGGGUUAGAGAUUUUUAUCGAAAAUUUUAGAGAGGCAGAACUUGGGUUUGGAAUUUCGGAUGAAAAUUUUAGUUGGAACUUGGUCGAAAACUUUGUUUGUUCGGUCUGUUCUGGGGUUGGCGAUUUGGGUUAAAAAUCUUGGACGAAAAUUUGAGUUGAAAUUUCGUGUCUACUGUUUAGCGAGGAAGAAGAAGAAGGAGUGCUUCCCUGCUGGUUUCGUGUAUGGAAUUGCCCCUCUACUCAUCGUCCCAUUCGCUGCUCCGAAGAAGGCUGGUUAGUCGCUGCGUUGAUUGUUGCAAUGUUAUCAACCGAAUUAUCUGUUCAUUUGCAUCAUUGUUGAUUCGAUUUUGUCAAUCUUUCUAAAUGUGUUGUUCUCUUGUCAUGUUGUCGAUCUGUUCAUGUUGUUAUGGCCGUUGUCAUUUCUCUUGGUGUUAGCUACUGGUUUUCGACGAGGUAGAUGGGAUCUUUGAAUCCAUUUCCCAUUCUUAAAGUUUUAUUCAUGUUUCUUUAAGUGUUGAGUCCUGUCAUACGUCAAAUAGCUUAUAAAUGGUCUUAGUUGUUGGUUUAGUUUGAUGUCGUUCAAGUUGGUUGAAAUAUCGCUUUGGUUUGUUUAUACUCUUGUUUUGAUCAGUUAGCAAUGUUUCUUUCAUCGAAAUGGAGAAAUCGAAAUUCGUGUGUUAUCUCUUGUUUGGUUAGUUGAUGUAGUAGUUAGUUUCCUCCGGAUCCCACGAUCAGGAUUCUAUCUAGCAUACGCUAUUUCAUCUUGAUUUAUUGUCGUUUUGUUUAUUUCCUUGAAGUCAGUUAUGUAUGUCAUCUGGAUCGUCGCGGCUGUAUAUUAAAAUUUGUAUGAUGACGAAUGGGUUUAGCUAAGUUAUUUUUUAUCAAAUGCACCAAAUCAUUUUCGAAUGUCCAGUUAUUUUCCGUUUUAUUUUAUUUCAUAGGGGUAGCGAAGCGGUUGUUUGAGUCUCUUUAUCAUGAGGCUCAACCUUUUGCUUGCCUCACUUCUGGGUUCAUCUGUAAACAAUUUAUGUAUGUAGGUGUGAGCAGUAGGUACUUAAGUUGAAUAUGCCUCUUCAAAUGAAUAAACUAUGGUUUUAAUUUUUUACUGUCCCACCAUCUAGGCUUGUGUUCUGAUGAUUGAAAUUGUAUUCAUUCUUAGUUUUCCUAAAUUUUAGGAAGUUCUCUUGAUUGUUUCGUCUUGAAUAAUUCUAGUAGUUGGAUUUACCUGCCCAUCUCUCUUCUUUAUGUGACUUAAGUUAAAAAUAGUAUAUCACUGUAUAUAUUUUCCGUUGGAAGUUGAUUAUUAGACAUUACAUCUAAAGACUUCAUGUUCUUUUCUUACUUCUUUUGUAUUUAAUUGCAUGUGAAAUUCCUUCCGAGUCCAUUUUCGGAUUCCACUCCGUUCUUGCGUUUCGGGAGAGCCAUAAAGGCUCGGAAAUUCUGUCCAUCGAGUCAACCCGUCGAAGCCAAGGAUCGCGAAGAAGGAUGGAAGAGUUGAAGAAAGUCAAAGAACGGAUUGGAAGGCUUCGCCGUUUAUUUUUUGCAUUUUAUUUGUAAUGGGCAUAAGCCCUCUUGUCUUUUUUUUACUUUCUUAUUUUAUUUUGUAUGUUUAGAAUAGGACAGGUACAAAACGGGUCGAAUACCCAAAAGCAGGUGGGUCCAACAUUCGGUCAAGGCGAACAGAACCGAAGUUGGACCCAAAUCUCUCUCUCUCUCUCUCUUUACUAUUCGCUUACAUAUUUGCUCAAAUUUCAUUAGUUUUAGGAUUAUAAUAACUCCAAACCCCGCCGAACACCUUUCAUUUUAUCGAACUUAAAAAAUUAAAACUGAAUCUUAAAAACAAUAAAUUUCAAAUUUUGCAAGUUUGUUUAGAGUAAAAGUUUAAAGGGUUCGACUAAAACAAAAUCUCAAAAUGAUAAAUUGUUUAAAAUUCAUGACAUGUUUAGAUGAAGCUUUAAAGAAGUUCAACUUUGGAAUAGAUUCGCAAAUUACAAGGUAAAUAAAAAAUAUUUCAACUUGUGAAUUUGGCUAAGUAAAUUCUGAUAAAAUUCAAACUUCAAUUCGCAAAGGUUAAAACAAAAAUAGUCAAAUAAGUUAAUCGCCGGAAAACCGUAAGUUAGCGGAGUGUCUUAGGUGUCAUACACCUUCCUAAGAUACUAAUAAAAAUCCCGAACCCCCUAAAAAUAGUUUCAAAAUAAUUUUUCUGUUUAAGUUGUUUUGGAAAUAAGUUUUCUUGAUUUUUUUCAAAAAAUUAAGUGGCGACUCCUAAAA